rnacentral:rRNA from 1 species
UGCAAGUCGACGGCAGCACGGGAGCAAUCCUGGUGGCGAGUGGCGAACGGGUGAGUAAUAUAUCGGAACGUGCCCAGUCGUGGGGGAUAACGUAGAGAAAUUUACGCUAAUACCGCAUACGAUCUAAGGAUGAAAGCGGGGGACCGUAAGGCCUCGCGCGAUUGGAGCGGCUGAUACCAGAUUAGGUUGUUGGUGAGGUAAAAGCUCACCAAGCCGACGAUCUGUAGCUGGUUUGAGAGAACGACCAGCCACACUGGGACUGAGACACGGCCCAGACUCCUACGGGAGGCAGCAGUGGGGAAUUUUGGACAAUGGGCGAAAGCCUGAUCCAGCAAUGCCGCGUGCAGGAAGAAGGCCUUCGGGUUGUAAACUGCUUUUGUACGGAACGAAAAGGUCUGCCCUAAUACGGCGGGCCCAUGACGGUACCGUAAGAAUAAGCACCGGCUAACUACGUGCCAGCAGCCGCGGUAAUACGUAGGGUGCGAGCGUUAAUCGGAAUUACUGGGCGUAAAGCGUGCGCAGGCGGUGAUGUAAGACAGUUGUGAAAUCCCCGGGCUCAACCUGGGAAUUGCAUCUGUGACUGCAUCGCUAGAGUACGGUAGAGGGGGAUGGAAUUCCGCGUGUAGCAGUGAAAUGCGUAGAUAUGCGGAGGAACACCGAUGGCGAAGGCAAUCCCCUGGACCUGUACUGACGCUCAUGCACGAAAGCG